GGUUCGGUAACUCAGUGGUAGAGUAGUGGAUUGCAGUGCAAUUAUGCAGCUAACAAUCCAAAUGUCCCGUGUUCGAUCCACGGUCGGACCU